GUUGAGCAUAAAUAAUUGUCAGCGGUAUUCGGUACCUAGAAAGAGAAAAAUGAACAGUCCCGACUUCAGUCCGUAGUAUUUGUUUCUGCUGAUUAAUUUGUUUCGUAAUCAAUGUAAGCUAGUAGGUGAAAAUAUACUGCGAACAUGCGUGUGUAUUAGGUUCGCUCAAACAAGUACGCGUUUCGCGUUUGCCGCUUCUUGCUUGUCGAUUUUUUUUCUCCAUCUCAUACCUUAUUCUCACCUUCCGUGAAACUGUACAGUAACUCAGUUUGUCACGAAUAAGCGCGAGGCAAGACAUCGCGCAAAAAAGUCGCGAGUCUUUGGCCCAGGCCUUGACCGCUGGCCUGAUGAAUGCCUGCGUACAGUAAGUAACAUACGUCUUGAGUCAGUGCUGACGGCAAGUGCAGGCGUCGUAGCUUCAGAGGCUUGUCAGAUUUAUGCAAAAGGUGUGCAUCUCGUGACGACGAGUGACGCAGCAUGAGCAGAAAGUUGUUAGCUUUGGUACCGCACGCAGUGUCACCCAGAGGUCUUGGCUUCCUGAAGAGUGUUAAGAAAUCAAGCAUGGUUCCGGGAAUUCGAAUACCUUAUAGUACCGCGGGUCAGCCGAACUCCGUUAGUCCACCCUGAUCAUGCAUAUACAAGUGCGUGGGUUAAGGUAAUCGGCUUUUCUACUGACCCUAGGAAACCAGUUUCGGUUUCGACCGAGCCGCACGGGUUUCUUUUACUAUCAGAAAUAUCUAUAAACCCAUCGCACGACGCCAUCUAGCCGUUGAAGAUACCCUGCUACAAGAGAGUCGUUUUAAUUAUUAUGAAACAAUCCACGUUUUGGCCUCCGACGAGGGACUCCUUCGCGAGACCAGAAGUGGCUGGUUUGUUAUUACCUCCAAUGAAUUAUUACGCAUGUACAGAACAAUCUACGCAUCCGAAUGACGAGGUUCGUUUUUGUGAUCCUAUGCUGCCAAGAGAACACAGAAGCCAUGAUUAUAUUUCAUCUUGCUCUUAAGUUCUGCUCAUCUUGAGGUCAAAAAGCGUUGAAGCACAACAAGAGGUACGAGCUACACGCUAUUAGUUAUAGUGAUGACGUAGCUGUACCUGCUCGCCGAGAUCAGGAGACGUGUAACGAAAGUUCUACAUACGCGAGCGUGACAUAUAUACAUAUACAUGCCCAUAUAAUAAACGUGACGUCGUACCGGUUAUUUUGCAGCCUGUCGGUAUGUAUACGAACAUAAACACUGCGAAAUGAGCUGAUACAAUAAAACCAUGUACCGUUAAGUGAAAAAAAAAAAAAAAUUAAACUCAGAAUAUAUCAUUACU